GGGAAAGUGGCUCAGUGGUAGAGUACUUGCCUUGCAUGCAUGAGGCCCUGGGUUCAAUUCCUCAGCACCACCU
rnacentral:tRNA from 1 species